rnacentral:lncRNA from 1 species
GUUAAAUGGCGACUCCUAGAGGCGCGCCGGAACUCAUGGAUGAAAUACGAACUGCCUCACGCGGCGAGAGUAAAACCAAAUAGAACUCGAUGUGAUAAUUUUGUAUUUAUGGAUUAUGAAUAAUUAACACCUAUAAAAUUUGUGAUCUUCGAGAAUGAUUUUAGAUAAAUUGAAAAAUCAAAGUGAAAUAUGAAUGUAUGGCAGACA